rnacentral:snoRNA from 1 species
CUUCUCUCAGGGCUGCACCUGGAGAGUUUCCGGUACUCUACCAGUCUUGGCUACAGAAGGGAGAGUCAAGCAGAGGCAUACCCAUUCUAUUUCUAGCUUGGACAGUGGCUAGUGAAUGGAAGGCAAUCUGCUACAACU